AGAGAGAGAGAGAGAACAGAAAUUUAGAGGGAAGUAAGAUUCUUUCGUUUCACAACAUAUCAUCCUCACAUGUUCUUGUUGCAAUAACACCCCCUAACUAUUUCCAACAGAUCAGUUAAUGACUCUAGCAAACUGCUAUAAAUCCAAAUCAGAGCCGUUGGCAACUCUGUUACUUCACCCACCCAUGCAAAACGCCUCAUUUCAUCUUCUAACAGGUACAGGAUAUUGUUAGACGAAAGUGCUUCUUAUAUGACUGGGAUAACCUUAUUUUAUAAAGAUUUCUUUUGAAAUGAGAGGAAAUUCUUGUACGCGUUCCCUCGGGAUAUAUAUUUAUCUAACUAGUAAUAAUAAAUAAAUAAUAAUUUUAAGUAGAUGUUAUCUUAAUUUUAUAUAAUGUGAUAUUUGUAGAUUAGUUGAGAAUUUGUAGAUUAGUUGAGUGUAUAUAUUUGAAUAUGUAAAUCUUUUCUUAGAAAGAGUUGGACCCAAUUCAUUUUAUCAAUAUGGUUUCAGAACCCAAUCUCAAUUUCCACCCAAAACCAAUCUCAAUUUCCACCAUAUUGCCAAUUCACAUAUACAAUCUUAUAAAUUUCAUACUUAGGAAGAAUAUGUAUUUCUCCUUACAUAGUAUGCAUUACUAUACACUAACUAUAAACAAUAAAUAUAAAUAAAUAAAAUAUGCAUUACUCAUAUAGUUACAAGAAGGAUAUCAAUAUUUCUAAGUAAAAGUAAAAUUACACUAGCAUAUAGCUAGGAUCUAACUGAUGGAAUUUCAAAUCAGCAAUAGAUGAUGAGAACUCCAUUUAUUGUAGUAAUAGAAGGUUAUGCAAGUAUAAUAUGAUAAUCCAUCCAUCCUAACAAAGUAAAGCUUAUAGAAUAUUUUCAAUAAUAAUUAUCCAUCCUAACAAAGUAAACCUUAUAGAAUAUUUUCGAUAAUAAUUGGUUAUCUACUUUCUAAUGCAACCUAAAAAAAAAGUUCAUUAUCUACAUAGUUUGAGCUCUGUUUACAAAAAUCCGUUAGAAUAUCUACAGGCAUCUGCUUUUUUACAUGCAACAAAACUGUCUAAGCUUCCAGCAAUCAUUAAUGAAGUGGCCGUAUAUUAGAAUUGUGUGGCCGAGCUCAAAGCUUUAUAUACAAGAAAUUAAGCUAACCAACUAGAGUAGCGG
rnacentral:misc_RNA from 1 species